UGAAAGAUGGCGCGCAGAACUGGCGGCUCCACCCGACGCUCCGGUUAUGCGCGUGGGUGGUACUCGCUUAUCCCUCACCUGGACUCCAAUCUUUUCCUUAAUCGCUAGUUUUCUGUGUAGAAUUCUGUUCCUUCUCUUUGAAGUCUUUUAACUUUGGGACAUGCGGUUCUCCAACAUACUUGCUAAAAUGUGAUUACAGUCAUCAAGGGCUAUCCGGAUUGCUGUUGCCAUCGUUGUCCUUACAAAGGCACAACUAUUAGGAACCUUGACAAAAAUGGUUGGUGAUCUAGCUGAAGCCACAAAGUUAUUGAUCUAGCUGAUGUGCCAUCCCAUGCAAAACAACUUCCAAAUGGAUUCAAGCUGUAGCCAUCCCAUAAACUAUGUGAGAGUGAAAAGUUCAGUUGACAUGAUCAGGAUGUAUGUUUGCGCAAAUUCUUUUCAUGGUUAAAUUAUAAAGAAGAGGAUCAAGCCUUUGAAGUCUGCACAGUCAAUUAGUCAAAUUUGGUGGUUUUCAAUUGCCUUGAGCUCCCAAACAGCUUCUGCAUUGGGGAGUUGAGCAUAAUCAACAGAUCUUUUAAAUUUCUAAGCUCCACUCUCUGGUAAGUUUUAGUUUUGUUUCGUUUUCUGGUUCUUGUUCUUUCAUAACGUUUUGGCGUCUUGGCACGCAGAAUUCUGGAAAUUUAGUCAGCUCUCUCUCUCUCUCUCUCUCUCUCUCUCUCUCUGUGUGUACCAUUAUUUCCUUUGAGCAAUUCCUACAACCUUUAUCUAGAUCUGCACUUUUUUCUUUUGGGUAAUUUUCAGCAACAAAGAACCUGUGCAGUCUUCCUUCAGCUGAACCAGAGUCUGCCUCUUUUUUCUUGUGUGUAAACCCUUUGUUUUAACUCCAUUAAUGGAAGUGUUUAAGUAUUAGACUUGUUUUCAGUUAGUGAAAUAAUUUUCUCUAAAUAUCUUGGUUUCCCAUUGCAUUGCUAUUUUGUUGCAGUACAUUUGUAAAAUUUGUUCUUGAAACAAGAAUUUAUGGAAAGGAGAAGAAAACUUUACAUUUGCUUACUUCAAUAAGCGUAGGGAAUUACCUAAACGCUAAAGCAGAGUGAAAGAAAUAUGCUUUUACUAUAAGUUGGAUGAUGCCACCAUGCUCACUUUACAAUUGUCUUUCGGACAUUGCCAACAUUAUGAAUAAUACAAUGUAUUUAUGUGAUAAAAUUUCUCUAGUAUCCAUUACUCUACAUUAUUCAUACUAAAAAACUCAUGGUGUUUAAACAUAGUUGACUGGAUAUUGAUUAUAAAACUAAUAAUCUUUCCAUUACAACCUGAAGCUUGUGAUUGUUUAUUUCUAUUAUAAUUAAUUGUUUCAGCGUGUAAUUUUGCAUACGCCUAUUUGUGGAUUCGUUAUGCGGUUUGUGUCUUUCAUAAUG